ACUGCUGGAGUUGGACAAAAGAAAACUACACAACCAGCUAAAGGAAAGAAAGUUAAAAAACGGCAGCCAAUGGACUUGGAACAACCAGACACAACAAAGAGAUCUUCGCGAAACCCACGGAAAAAGUGGUCUACAGAGGAGAUCCAAGCGGUAGAAAAAACGUUGCUAACCUGCAUCAAGUCUGGAAGGGUUCCCGGGAAAACACAGUGCGAAGAAUGCAUUAAAUCCUCCCCUGCUGCGCUUCAAGGAAGAAGCUGGG